rnacentral:rRNA from 1 species
AGCAGUCGCCGCGGGAAUACAGAGGGUGCGAGCGUUAAUCGGAUUUACUGGGCGUAAAGCGUGCGUAGGCGGCUUUUUAAGUCGGAUGUGAAAUCCCUGAGCUUAACUUAGGAAUUGCAUUCGAUACUGGGAAGCUAGAGUAUGGGAGAGGAUGGUAGAAUUCCAGGUGUAGCGGUGAAAUGCGUAGAGAUCUGGAGGAAUACCGAUGGCGAAGGCAGCCAUCUGGCCUAAUACUGACGCUGAGGUACGAAAGCAUGGGGAGCAAACAGGAUUAGAUACCCGAGUAGUCCCUGUCUCUUAUAA